AUGCCAGUGCAUCAAGAUGCUGCCCGGUACCGUACCGUUUUCCCAGCAUUUUCUUCCCACCAUCCAGCUGGUGUCCAAUCCCAAAUUAGAUUUGACCAGUCCAGUCCUGAACUUAAAAGGCCUGGAGAAUCAGUGAGGCUCACCUGUAAGGCAUUUGGAUAUACAUUUACCAGCUAUGCAAUGUUCUGGAUCAGGCAGGCACCAGGGAAAGGACUGGAGUGGGUUGGACGUAUUAGGACAGACAACUUUGAGACACGCUAUGCGCAAGUUCUGGAAGGUCGAGUCACCAUCACCGUGGACACCUCCAUCAGCACCACAUCCCUGCAGCUGGCCAACCUGAAAGCUGAAGACACGGCUGUAUAUUACUGUGCAAGAGACACAGUGUGGAAAACCUCAUGUAAAGACUAA